GAACUUAGAAGUACUUGAUGUUCUGUCAGUAUUCAGCAAUGUUUGAACACGAUGUUCAAACAAGCCGCCACUGAGCCAUGGAUGGCGAAUUGGCGGCGUUUGCGUGCGAUAAGAAGAUGUACAACAGAACAUCCUGGUACUUCUUAGUUUC
rnacentral:ncRNA from 1 species